UAAGCAAGACAUGAAAGCGUAUGGCUCAACCAUAUAUCCAUGUUUGAACUGCUUAGCUAGAGAGUGGAAGAGGUCGCUAGAAUUCCUGGUGUAGGGGUGAAAUCCGUAGAUAUCAGGAGGAAUACCAAUGGCGUAGGCAGGCGACUAGUCCAUUUCUGACACUGAGGCACGAAAGCGUGGGGAGCGAUCGGGAUUAGAUACCCCGGUAGUCCACGCCGUAAACUAUGGAUGCUA
rnacentral:rRNA from 1 species